UACGGAGGGUGCAAGCGUUAUCCGGAUUCACUGGGUUUAAAGGGUGCGUAGGCGGGUUUUUAAGUCAGUGGUGAAAGCUUCCCGCUCAACGGGAAAACUGCCAUUGAUACUAUUAAUCUUGAAUUCAGUUGAGGUCGGCGGAAUGUGUCGUGUAGAGGUGAAAUUCUUAGAUAUGACACAGAACACCAAUUGCGAAGGCAGCUGGCUAAACUGAUAUUGACGCUGAGGCACGAAAGCGUGGGGAUCAAACAGG
rnacentral:rRNA from 1 species